rnacentral:rRNA from 1 species
CGAUCAUUUCGGUGAUAGUGGCGGACGGGUGAGUAACACGUACGUGACCUGCCCCGAACUGGGGGAUAACCGCCCGAAAGGGUGGCUAAUACCGCAUGUGGUCCCCGGAUUGCGGUCCGGGGAGUAAAGCUCCGGCGGUUUGGGAGGGGCGUGCGGCCGAUUAGCUUGUUGGUGGGGUAACGGCCUACCAAGGCUUCGAUCGGUAGCUGGUCUGAGAGGACGGCCAGCCACACGGGGACUGAGAUACGGCCCCG